rnacentral:rRNA from 1 species
AACGAACGCUGGCGGCAUGCCUAACACAUGCAGGUCGAACGAGACCUUCGGGUCUAGUGGCGCACGGGUGCGUAACGCGUGGGAACCUGCCCUUAGGUUCGGAAUAACUCCCCGAAAGGGGUGCUAAUACCGGAUAAUGUCUUCGGACCAAAGAUUUAUCGCCUUUGGAUGGGCCCGCGUUGGAUUAGCUAGUUGGUAGGGUAAAAGCCUACCAAGGCGACGAUCCACAGCUGGUCUGAGAGGAUGAUCAGCCACACUGGGACUGAGACACGGCCCAGACUCCUACGGGAGGCAGCAGUGGGGAAUAUUGGACAAUGGGCGAAAGCCUGAUCCAGCAAUGCCGCGUGAGUGAUGAAGGCCUUAGGGUUGUAAAGCUCUUUUACCCGGGAUGAUAAUGACAGUACCGGGAGAAUAAGCUCCGGCUAACUCCGUG